rnacentral:rRNA from 1 species
AUACGUAGGGGGCGAGCGUUGUCCGGAAUGAUUGGGCGUAAAGGGCGCGUAGGCGGCCCGGUAAGUCUGGAGUGAAAGUCCUGUUUUUAAGAUGGGAAUUGCUUUGGAUACUGUCGGGCUUGAGUGCAGGAGAGGUAAGUGGAAUUCCCAGCGUAGCGGUGAAAUGCGUAGAGAUUGGGAGGAACACCAGUGGCGAAGGCGACUUACUGGACUGUAACUGACGCUGAGGCGCGAAAGUGUGGGGAGCAAACAGGAUUAGAUACCCUGGUAGUCCACACUGUAAACGAUGAAUGCUAGGUGUAAGAGGUAUCGACCCCUUUUGUGCCGGAGUCAACACAAUAAGCAUUCCGCCUGGGGAGUACGGCCACAAGGUUGAAACUCAAAGGAAUUGACGGGG